rnacentral:hammerhead_ribozyme from 1 species
AUCCUGCUGACGAGUUCCAAGUGGGACGAAAUGCGCGUCCUGGAU